AUUUUUCUGUUUCUGCCUGCAGACGUGCACUGAGAGAUGCUGAGACACACACACCUGUAGCACAUGCUGAUAAGCCCCACUCUCCAUGCUACCUGCUGCCAGAUGAUUUUGUCAGUCAGAUGUGUUACCACCUACGAUCCAGGCGACUCAGUUUCCAGCAACCCAGCUUUCAGCAUCUCUGUAGGAAACAGCUUUGCCCUGCAUUCACCAGAGUAUGUACACACCACAAAACCCACCAGUGCCACCAUGACCUGUCUCCCUUCCUCCUUCCACCUCUCGGACUCUGACUCAUGCCUGUCUAGCUUACUACUCUCACCUGCAAUAACCGUGUUCCGUCAAUAAAUAACCUUGCUCUCCUGA